CAUUUAUCCUAGCAGUGGAGGCAGGGGUAAGGAGGGACAGACAACCAUCUACAAUCAGAGGUUUCAUGGCAAGAGGGGCCAUGGACAUUCUGUCUGACACUUAGCACAGUCUGAGGAAGAUAACUCAAUGAGGUUUGCCAGGGCAGAAGUCUGACACUUAGCACAGUCUGGGGAAGAUAAUUCAGGGGUUUUUUGCAGGGGCAGAAAGCCUGGAAGUCCAAAAGGAAAAACGAAAUGGCCACAGAGCUGCAAGCGGAGAAAAGUGAAAGGGGACAGCACUGAUCUAGUCAUCGUAAGGGAUUGGGACAAGGCCAGAAACAGUCUGCUUAGCACCAGGAGAACCCACAGCACCAUUGCUCCCAGGCAUCCUGACUGAGGUAGGGAGCUUCUGAAAGAAGAUCCCAGCAUCAAAAAGCAGCUACAAGGGUCUCCUGAUAGCCAGAGAGGUUGGCAGGGUGAACAGAGGCUUGGCUUCACCUUCUGGACAUAUAAGACUGGCUAAAUACAUUCGGGUGUCAAAGGACAUCUCCACGGCUGGCUCCAUGCCGUGGAUGUCCACAUGAUGGCAGUGUGUGCCAUGACAGCUCAGGCCAUAGACAUGAAAGCAACCUGUUACACCGAAGAAUUCCCAUCCUGUUCCACAACCAUGGACAGAUCAGGCUGUGGAAAUGACUUUCAGGGUCUCGAGAAUUGCUCCACUUACUUUUGACACCUAAACAGAAGAAGGAGAGGAUCUUCCUCGUUGUUUUAACUCAUCCUGUUGCCAUUCAUUGCAGACCUGGUUUAGUGAGCAGGUGAAAUUUAGGUGGCAAAUCAGUACUUUGCCCCAGAGCAUGACCUUGCAGCAGCUGCUUUCUCUGGUUGUGCCUGUGUUUGUUUGGAUAGGAAGAAGAGCCCAGGCCCAUCUGUCCCUGUGUGUUCCUGCAGCGCUCAGUGCUGACAGAUGAAAUGUAGUUGUAAUGCCAAAAAAAAUAAUAACCUUUCAAGCUUCCAAACACAUGAUAUAUGAGGAAAUCAUGGCAAGAGCCCAGCCAGUGUUGCAGAGUAAUGCAAGCUGCCUGGAUCUCAUCUGACUACACAUGUCUCAGGGAUGAAUUUAUAUCUGGAAGCAUUUAAUACAGCUGUCUUACAAAUAUGUUGCAAUACUUACUUCAUUUACAGGCUGCUUCCAGUGUAAAAUCCCAGUGGGGUUUAGAGGGAAAUUGCUGGUACCAUCUGACCAUGGGUUUGCCUGGAGAGCAGCGUGGGUCCCGCGCCCUGCAAAACUCCCUCUCACCGUUGGUUCUGCUGCUCCUGUUGUGCUCAGCAGCAUGAAAGAAAGUACCACAACCAGGCUGUGAUGGAUGUUAUACCCUUUGCAUGACAAGGAUGCGGCUGGACAGCUAUUAUGACAGGCUCUGUGGGGAAAGGAAUAACUGCAUGAGUAGAUGGCAUCCCUGCUGUGCUGUUAUUGAAAGGCCAAGCUGUAGCAAUGAGGAAAAUACAGGAUCUUUUUAACCAAAACAAAGACUUAUCCAGUUGCAACCCGCAUAGCUCCUCUCAUGAGUUCUUAUUACAUUAGUUUUCGGAAGGUCUGAGUCAGGCAGUCCAAGGUCAGCUCAUCAUCUCUGCAAUUACCCUUCCUGCAGAAGGUGGGGAGGGAUUAAAGAAUGAGGUAACCCCUCUGCAUCUAGUCCUUGACUGUCUUUAUUGCUCUGAGUUAUAAAUCCCACGUGACCAGCUCUUUUAUUACUACCAUGUCUCUAAUAUCCAGGAGGGGAAAGGUAACUGGGGGAAAGUGCUGUCAGAAAUUGCAUGCCGCAACGAUCUGGCCCACUCUGGCACUGGGACACCAUUGCACCAAAAGCCCUGUUGCAGCCUCAGCCCAGCUCUCCAGUUCCAAAGCAGAGCAGCUAUGGAAGAUGUGGGAUGCAGGAUGCGGGAGGCAGGACGCAGGAUAUGAGAUAUGGGAUGCGGGAAGCAAGAUGCGGGAUGUGAGAUGAUGCAGGAUGUGGGAUGCAGGAUGUGGAAUAUGGGAUGCGGGAUGUGGGAUGGAUGUAGGAUAUGGGAUGCGGGGUGCAGGAUGUGGGAUGCAGGCUGGCUGGCCUGGCAUGCAGUGCUGUCCCACAUGGCCUGGGGAGCUGGGGAGCUGGGCUGCAAUGUGUGAUGUUAUUUAGAAGAGCGGGACUCUAGCUCCUGGCCUUGGAGGCUGUUAGCAUCAAGGAGAGCUUUGUGUGCAGAUCUGAUGUUGGGUUUGUGUGUGCAACUGCAGGGGGAACUGGGCUCCCCUCCCUCCCAGUGCCAAGAAGCCACAAACACAACACAGAGGGGAGGAUGGGAAUGCUGCAAGAGCACCUUUCCUUUUCCUCUUCAGAUAUGAAGAGGUAGAUUUUCAACAAAUCCUAAAAGUCAUGGAGAGGGACAAUGACUGAAGAGGAGGAAGGCAGAAGCAGCCUGGUUUUUCCAUCCUGGGGCCCGGAACAUUCACAUGUGGGAUAAUGCAUUUGAGAAAGCAGCAGGGCAGCCUUUCCUCUACCCCUGAUUCAGUCUGCUCCUAAAAAACAGACCAGAGGUACCCUGCUGUAGCAUUAUACCAUAUUUGUUGCCUUCUUUGGGCCUUUGGAUUAUGCAGCAAAAACAGUGACCUGGCUCUUAAAACCUUUGAAAAUGUAGAUUCCCCAGACAACCUAUGUUAGGUCUUAAGAAACCUUGGGGACUGCUUUAUGCUAUGCAAUCUGUAUCUGCCUAAAUGCAGUUUAGCAGCUGCCAUUUCAUAGAACCAUAAAAUCAUAGAAUAGUUGGGGUUGGAAGGGACCUUUAAAGGUCAUCUAGUUCAUCUAGUCUAUUUCCCCAAGGACUGUUAUGCUAGUUCCCCUAGUUUGAUAUCCUUUUACCUACUCCCUUUCAGCAAGUGCACCAUGGUGUCAGCCAUGUGCUCUUGCUCAUCAGAUGUUGUGGCUUUAAUCUUUCACAUUUGCAUGUCAAGGUUCAUCCACUCCUUUUUAGAUAGCAUUUUAUUUUUUCCCAAUCCUAUCUUGAAAAGAAAAUUGAAUCCAAUAUAGAGAUACAUUUGGUUAUAGUUACUCAGCUAUUUUGAUUAGAAAUUUUCUCAUUUUACACUUUAGAAUACGUAGGCAAGAUACAUUAUGGAGUAAAUGCAGUUGUCUUUAUACUUAGAUAUCCGGACAGGGUUGAAGGACACUAUCUCAUUUCAUCUAGUGAAAGGAGAUGCAAGUGAAAAAUUUUCGAGAAGUAUUUGUAUUUAUAUAUCCAAGUAUGAUGCUUGCUUUAAUUACAAUGGCAGGAUAUUAGUGAUUUGUAUUAUCUUUGUCAGCCUCUAUAGCUACUAAAUACGUUUUGGAGAGAUUGCUGCCUAUCAGUCAUUUCCCCUCUUCACUUUGUCAAGGGCUGUGCCUGCCUCUUGUGCUUUGUGCUUGUGCUCAUGGGCCCGCAUCCCAUUCACUGCAGCAUUUUCUCUAUUUAUCAAGAUAAUUUUGUAUCCUGAUAGCACCCUCCAAAGAGCUCGAGGCAUCCCCUGGGUUUAUGACAUUUUACAUUUUAAUAAGCAUACUCCAUCUCUCUCCACUGAAGGGGUAUCUGUGAUGGCAACUCGAGAGCUGCACCUUGUGUCUGAAGAGGGGACAGGCAGCUGGAGUGAGCAUCCCCUGCAAAACGGUUUCGUGCUGACAUUCCUGCUUCCAUGAGAGGAGCUGGCUCAGGCCAAAAUAAAUCGGAUUAACUCAGAAGCAAAAACAAGUUGAACUGGGAUUCAGAUCGGUAUAGGUGGAAAGCCAACACUGCUGAAGGGCAGGGAAUAGAGAUGAAAAAGCACAUGGAAAAGCACACUUACUAAGAAAUCUCAUUUUCCUUUUACUUUCUAGAGUCCUGAUUCAUUCUUGAUUAGCAACAACUAAAACUGCGUGCUGCCAAUGACUGAGUUGCCAUUUGACAAGGACUGCCUGUACACAUAAGCUUAAAUGUAUUUUCAAAAUAUAUCUUUCUCAUUAUAAGUU